GUCUAUUUCAGGGUUGUGGCUGUAAGACAAAAGAGAUUCUUCAAGCAACAGGGUGGAACUAAUCAAAAGAUACAUCUUUCUAAGAAGAGGAGAGGACACAGAGAGACACACAGAGAAGGUGAUGACAAUGAUGAGAAGACGGAGGCGGAGAUUGGAGUGAUGAUGCAUCUACAAGCCAGGGAACAUCAAGGACUGCCAGCAACCACCAGAAGCCAGGAGAGAGGCAUGAGACAGUUCUUCCUCCUAUCCUUCAGAAGAAAUCAACUCUACUGACACCAUGAUUUUGGAUUUUGGCCUCCUAAAAUACUUCUGCUGGCAUAUUGGAGGUUAAUGUCACAGUGCUCAGCUACUUGGUAAAGCAAGUGAGAAUAGCAGGGAUCUGUGGAGACCAUGGCAGAUUCCAGUUCGGAGGCCACAUACUCUGAAG
rnacentral:lncRNA from 1 species